rnacentral:rRNA from 1 species
UCUGGCUCAGAUCGAACGCUGGCGGCAUGCCUAAUACAUGCAAGUCGAACGAGAUCUUCGGAUCUAGUGGCGCACGGGUGCGUAACGCGUGGGAAUCUGCCCUUGGGUUCGGAAUAACUUCUGGAAACGGAAGCUAAUACCGGAUGAUGACGUAAGUCCAAAGAUUUAUCGCCCAAGGAUGAGCCCGCGUAGGAUUAGGUAGUUGGUGAGGUAAAGGCUCACCAAGCCGACGAUCCUUAGCUGGUCUGAGAGGAUGAUCAGCCACACUGGGACUGAGACACGGCCCAGACUCCUACGGGAGGCAGCAGUAGGGAAUAUUGGACAAUGGGCGAAAGCCUGAUCCAGCAAUGCCGCGUGAGUGAUGAAGGCCUUAGGGUUGUAAAGCUCUUUUACCCGGGAUGAUAAUGACAGUACCGGGAGAAUAAGCUCCGGCUAACUCCGUGCCAGCAGCCGCGGUAAUACGGAGGGAGCUAGCGUUGUUCGGAAUUACUGGGCGUAAAGCGCACGUAGGCGGCUAUUCAAGUCAGAGGUGAAAGCCCGGGGCUCAACCCCGGAACUGCCUUUGAAACUAGAUAGCUUGAAUCCAGGAGAGGUGAGUGGAAUUCCGAGUGUAGAGGUGAAAUUCGUAGAUAUUCGGAAGAACACCAGUGGCGAAGGCGGCUCACUGGACUGGUAUUGACGCUGANGUGCGAAAGCGUGGGGAGCAAACAGGAUUAGAUACCU